rnacentral:lncRNA from 1 species
CUAGGAAAUCCUGGAUAAUCUAGCUUACCAAUCCCCUUUAUUUCUCCUUUUGAUCCAUCUCUAAAGGUGACAUAACCAGUGGAAUAAGACUUAAUAUUCACCAAAAAUUUCUUGACAACUGUCAUGUGUCUAGAUCAGCCACUAUCUGUAGCGGGAAAUUCAUGAUCAUCAAGCUAUUGACAAGCUACAGAUUAAUUAACAAGAGUCGCCACCGCGCUUUUA